AGCCUAAACUAGUGACAUCACUGGCAUGGCGAAAAAGUCCUGACGGACACAAAGAACCCAUCAUAUGGGGUGUCCGUCAGGCCAUACCGGGAAACUGGUAUGAGAGGCUUCGGCCUCU
rnacentral:sRNA from 1 species